GCCCUCCCCCCACCAUGGCGCGGAGCGAGGCAGCGGCGGCGGGGCCGGGCCCGGGGCCCCCCCGGGCUGGGUGCUGGCCCAGGCCCUGACUCCCUGAAGAGAGAUGAAGAAACCGAGAAUCAGAGAGGUUCAGAUACUUGCUGGAGGUCACACAGCUAGUCUCACCUCCCACCCCUCCUGCCUUCCCACUGCACCAUGGCUCCAGGACCCUUCUCCUCGGCCCUCCUCUCGCCGCCGCCCGCUGCCCUGCCCUUUCUGCUGCUGCUCUGGGCGGGGGCAUCUCGUGGCCAGCCCUGCCCCGGCCGCUGCAUCUGCCAGAACGUGGCGCCCACACUGACAAUGCUGUGCGCCAAGACCGGCUUGCUCUUUGUGCCGCCCGCCAUCGACCGGCGCGUGGUGGAGCUGCGGCUCACCGACAACUUCAUCGCCGCCGUGCGCCGCCGAGACUUCGCCAACAUGACCAGCCUGGUGCACCUCACUCUCUCCCGGAACACCAUCGGCCAGGUGGCAGCUGGCGCCUUCGCCGACCUGCGUGCCCUCCGGGCCCUGCACCUGGACAGCAACCGCCUGGCGGAGGUGCGCGGCGACCAGCUCCGCGGCCUGGGCAACCUCCGCCACCUGAUCCUUGGAAACAACCAGAUCCGCCGGGUGGAGUCGGCGGCCUUUGACGCCUUCCUGUCCACCGUGGAGGACCUGGAUCUGUCCUACAACAACCUGGAGGCCCUGCCGUGGGAGGCGGUGGGCCAGAUGGUGAACCUAAACACCCUCACGCUGGACCACAACCUCAUCGACCACAUCGCGGAGGGGACCUUCGUGCAGCUUCACAAGCUGGUCCGUCUGGACAUGACCUCCAACCGCCUGCAUAAACUCCCGCCCGACGG
rnacentral:lncRNA from 1 species